CAAUAGCGUAUAUUAAAGUUGUUGCAGUUAAAAGCUCGUAGUCGGAUUUCAGGGCAGGGCGACCGGUCUGCCGAUGGGUAUGCACUGGUCGGCGUGUCCUUCCUUCUGGAGACUGUGUUUACUCUUAACUGAGCGAAGACAGGAAACAGAUCGUUUACUUUGAAAAAUCAGAGUGCUCAAAGCAGGCCAAGAUUGCUCUUGCAUGGAUUAGCAUGGGAUAAUGAAAUAGGACUUUGGUGCUAUCUUGUUGGUUUCUAGAACAUACGCAAUGAUUAAUAGGGACAAUUGGGGGCAUUCGUAUUAACGCGUCAGAGGUGGAAUUCUUAGAUUGCGUUACGACGAACUACUGCGAAAGCAUUUGCCAAGGAUGUUUUCAUUGAUCAAGAACGAAAGUAUGGGGAUCGAAGACGAUUAGAUACCGU
rnacentral:rRNA from 1 species